rnacentral:misc_RNA from 1 species
AAGUCGUAACAAGGUCUCCGUUGGUGAACCAGCGGAGGGAUCAUUCAUGUGAUUUUUCAAAACACUUACUUUUUGUUCACUUUAGUAAGUUUAUAAAGUGCCCAAGGUUCAGUGUUUUUCUUUUGUUGGCUGCGUUUUCUUUCAACCUUUCACUCUAUUUUCAAAGCACUUUUAAAAAAAUAACUUUAGAAAAUAGGAAAAGAAAGUAAAAUGCUACCUUUAUUAACCUAGUAAUCCACCAAAAACAAAGUACCAUAAUAGCUUAAAAAACUAUUACAACUUUUAACGAUGGAUCCCUCGGCUCUCA